AUUGAACGCUGGCGGCAGGCCUAACACAUGCAAGUCGAGCGAGCGGCGGACGGGUGAGUAAUGUCUGGGAAACUGCCUGAUGGAGGGGGAUAACUACUGGAAACGGUAGCUAAUACCGCAUACCAUCAGAUGUGCCCAUAUGGGAUUAGCUUGUAGGUGGGGUAAAGGCUCACCUAGGCGACGAUCCCUAGCUGGUCUGAGAGGAUGACCAGCCACACUGGAACUGAGACACGGUCCAGACUCCUACGGGAGGCAGCAGUGGGGAAUAUUGCACAAUGGGCGCAAGCCUGAUGCAGCCAUGCCGCGUGUGUGAAGAAGGCCUUCGGGUUGUAAAGCACUUUCAGCGAGGAGGCGUUACUCACAGAAGAAGCACCGGCUAACUCCGUGCCAGCAGCCGCGGUAAUUC
rnacentral:rRNA from 1 species